CGAACGCUUUGUCUUUAAUUGAUCUGACGAGCUUGCUCUGAAGUGAUUUCCUCUGACAAAGAGUGGCGAACGGGUGAGUAACACGUGGGUAACCUACCUCUUAGCAGGGGAUAACAUUUGGAAACAAGUGCUAAUACCGUAUAAUACCAACAACCGCAUGGUUGUUGAUUGAAAGAUGGUUCUGCUAUCACUAAGAGAUGGACCCGCGGUGCAUUAGCUAGUUGGUAUGGUAACGGCUUACCAAGGCGAUGAUGCAUAGCCGAGUUGAGAGACUGAUCGGCCACAAUGGGACUGAGACACGGCCCAUACUCCUACGGGAGGCAGCAGUAGGGAAUCUUCCACAAUGGGCGCAAGCCUGAUGGAGCAACGCCGCGUGUGUGAUGAAGGGUUUCGGCUCGUAAAACACUGUUAUAAGAGAAGAACGGCACUGAGAGUAACUGUUCAGUGUGUGACGGUAUCUUACCAGAAAGGAACGGCUAAAUACGUGCCAGCAGCCGCGGUAAUACGUAUGUUCCAAGCGUUAUCCGGAUUUAUUGGGCGUAAAGCGAGCGCAGACGGUUAUUUAAGUCUGAAGUGAAAGCCCUCAGCUCAACUGAGGAAUGGCUUUGGAAACUGGAUGACUUGAGUGCAGUAGAGGAAAGUGGAACUCCAUGUGUAGCGGUGAAAUGCGUAGAUAUAUGGAAGAACACCAGUGGCGAAGGCGGCUUUCUGGACUGUAACUGACGUUGAUGCUCGAAAGUGUGGGUAGCAAACAGGAUUAGAUACCCUGGUAGUCCACAC
rnacentral:rRNA from 1 species